rnacentral:rRNA from 1 species
AUUGAACGCUGGCGGCAGGCCUAACACAUGCAAGUCUCGCUGAGCGGCGGACGGGUGAGUAAUGCCUAGUAAUCUGCCUGGUAGUUGGGUAUCACGUCCGGAAACGGGCGCUUAUACCGCAUCCUACCAUAUGAGCCUAGGUCGGAUUAGCUAGUUGGUGGGGUAAAGGCCUACCAAGGCGACGAUCCGUAACUGGUCUGAGAGGAUGAUCAGUCACACUGGAAGUGAGACCAGGGCCAGAAUGCUACGGGAGGCAGAAGUGGGGAAUAUUGGGCAAUGGGAGAAAGACUGAGCCAGCCAUGCCGCGUGUGUGAAGAAGGUCUUCGGAGUGUAAAGCACUUUAAGUUGGGAGGCGUUACCAACAGAAUAAGCACGGGCUAACUUCGUGCCAGCAGCCGCAGUAAUAC